rnacentral:rRNA from 1 species
CCCUUAGACGUUCUGGGCCGCACGCGCGCUACACUGACCAGUGCAACAAGCAUCCGUCCUUGGCCGACAGGCCCGGGCAAUCUUUGAACGCUGGUCGUGAUGGGGAUAGACUUUUGCAAUUUUUGGUCUUCAACGAGGAAUUCCUAGUAAACGCAAGUCAUCAACUUGCAUUGAUUACGUCCCUGCCCUUUGUACACACCGCCCGUCGCACCUACCGAUUUCGAGUGGUCCGGUGAAGCUUUUGGACUGCGCGUGGCUUCGUGCCGUGUCGCGGAAAGUCAGCUAAACCUUAUCACUUAGAGGAAGUAAAAGUCGUAACA